rnacentral:rRNA from 1 species
ACGGAAGGCAGCAGUGAGGAAUAUUGGUCAAUGGGCGAGAGCCUGAGCCAGCCAAGUCGCGUGAAGGAAGACGGCCCUAUGGGUUGUAAACUUCUUUUGCAUGGGAAUAAAGUGAGGGAUGCGUCCCUUUUUGUAUGUACCAUGCGAAUAAGGAUCGGCUAACUCCGUGCCAGCAGCCGCGGUAAUACGGAGGAUCCGAGUGUUAUCCGGAUUUAUUGGGUUUAAAGGGUGCGUAGGCGGGCGAUCAAGUCAGUGGUGAAAUGGUGUGGCUCAACCAUAGCAUUGCCGUUGAAACUGGUUGUCUUGAGUGCGAAUGAGGUGGGCGGAAUGUGUCAUGUAGCGGUGAAAUGCUUAGAUAUGCCACAGAACACCGAUUGCGAAGGCAGCUCACUGGGACGCAACUGACGCUGAGGCACGAAAGUGCGGGGAUCGAACAGGAUUAGAUACCCUGGUA